rnacentral:rRNA from 1 species
UACGGAGGGUGCAAACGUUGCUCGGAAUCAUUGGGCGUAAAGCGCACGUAGGCGGACCAUCAAGUCGGAUGUGAAAUCCCUCGGCUUAACUGGGAGGGUGCGGUGGAGACUGCCGGACUGGAGGCACUCAGAGGCCGGUGGAAUUCCCGGUGUAGUGGUGAAAUGCGUAGAGAUCGGGAGGAACACCAGUGGCGAAGGCGGCCGGCUGGGGGUGACCUGACGCUGAGGCGCGAAAGCGUGGGGAGCGAACCGG